UACGAAGGGUGCAAGCGUUAAUCGGAAUUACUGGGCGUAAAGGGUGCGUAGGCGGUUGUUUAAGUCUGUCGUGAAAUCCCCCGGGCUCAACCUGGGAAUGGCGAUGGAUACUGGGCAGCUAGAGUGUGUCAGAGGAUGGUGGAAUUCCCGGUGUAGCGGUGAAAUGCGUAGAGAUCGGGAGGAACAUCAGUGGCGAAGGCGGCCUUCUGGACCAGUACUGACGCUCAUGCACGAAAGCGUGGGGAGCAAACAGG
rnacentral:rRNA from 1 species